GGGCCCGCACAAGCAGUGGAGUAUGUGGUUUAAUUCGAAGCAACGCGAAGAACCUUACCAGGGCUUGACAUGCAGGUGGAUAUGGCAGAGAUGUCAUAGCUCUUCGGAGCGCCUGUGCAGGUGGUGCAUGGUUGUCGUCAGCUCGUGUCGUGAGAUGUUGGGUUAAGUCCCGCAACGAGCGCAACCCCUGUUGUUAGUUGCCAUCAUUAAGUUGGGCACUCUAACGAGACUGCCGGUGACAAAUCGGAGGAAGGUGGGGACGACGUCAAAUCAUCAUGCCCCUUAUGUCCUGGGCUACACACGUACUACAAUGGCUAUAACAGCAGGAAGCGAAGGAGCAAUCCGGAGCAAAUCCCUAAAAAUAGUCCCAGUUCGAAUUGUGGGCUGCAACCCGCCCACAUGAAGUCGGAAUUGCUAGUAAUGGCAGGUCAGCAUACUGCCGUGAAUACGUUCCCGGGCCUU
rnacentral:rRNA from 1 species